rnacentral:rRNA from 1 species
AUUGAACGCUGGCGGAAUGCUUUACACAUGCAAGUCGAACGGCAGCACGGGUGCUUGCACCUGGUGGCGAGUGGCGAACGGGUGAGUAAUACAUCGGAACGUACCCAGUCGUGGGGGAUAACUAACCGAAAGGUUAGCUAAUACCGCAUACGCCCUGAGGGGGAAAGCGGGGGACCGUAAGGCCUCGCGCGAUUGGAGCGGCCGAUGUCUGAUUAGCUAGUUGGUGAGGUAAAGGCUCACCAAGGCGACGAUCAGUAGCUGGUAUGAGAGGAUGAUCAGCGACACUGGAACUGAGACACGGUCCAGACUCCUACGGGAGGCAGCAGUGGGGAAUUUUGGACAAUGGGGGAAACCCUGAUCCAGCCAUUCCGCGUGAGUGAAGAAGGCCUUCGGGUUGUAAAGCUCUUUCGGCAGGGAAGAAACGCUCUGGGUUAAUAACCCGGGGUAAUGACGGUACCUGAAGAAGAAGCACCGGCUAACUACGUGCCAGCAGCCGCCGUAA